CUAGGUCUGUGGCUAAAAAGUGAUGUUCUAGGCUAUUUUUCUGGGCUUGCAGCCACUUGCAGUGCAAGUCUAAGUCCAUUGAACAGCUUAUCCUGCCCAGUGACUGGAAGCCAGGAAGACUUUCCAGAUCCUGAGAUACUGAAAAGGCAUCUUCCUUUUUGCAAGGCAGGGUGAUGCCUAAGCCACUUCUGGGGUGUGGAGUAGUUUCUCCUGUGGCCCUUCCUUCUACCAGACUGUAGAGGAAAGGCACCACCAGCACCUAAUCCUACCCCACUGCUAGUCCGCUCGGUCCAUGCUGCAGCCUGACCAUGUGAACCAGUAGCAGAGCCCUCCUCUAUGCUCCUUCUGGGUAAACCUGCACCGCAGUUAGUUGCAGAACCUGUUUCACUGUGGACCACUGAUACCCCAGUUGGCCUACUUGCUACAUGGCAUUUUACUACUCGACCUGUAUCUCUGCAAAGAGAAGCGCUUUUAUUCCAGAGGAAAUCAUGACAUGGACAAGAGGCUACUUUGCUCCUGAAAAGCAAGUGGAUGCACAAACUGAAUCUCACCCAUGACAGCACAGUGUGACUACUGCAAAAAAGCCACCUCUCUGCAUGGAUGAAGCAGCUUACUGACAUUGCUUCCUGUGAAAAAAAUACAGAGAUGGAACAUCACCUAAGACACUGUUCCAUUUUUUUUUAAUGGUGAAACCAAGAUUAGAAGACCAGCUUCUUUGCUGUCAUGGCAAUAGAAAUGCAUGUCACACAGAUAACAUAGUGGAUCUGAUGAAGGUGAUAUGACUGCCGCAAGAAGUAAAUGCAAGGAAACAUUGCUUACGUUGUGGAAUUCAAAAUACCUGUCAGGCAGGAAAUUUAAAGAACUGAAAGGCACGCAGACAAAAUAUUUAAGUCAGUUUGAACUGUACUGGUUGUAUAGAAAAGGAAGUGUGGAUUUGGUGUAUCUUCUGAAAUAAAUUUGAGGAGAGCCUAAUUAAUUAAAAAGCAAAUAAAUACAUUGCUUGCCUCUGCCA
rnacentral:lncRNA from 1 species